rnacentral:rRNA from 1 species
GAAACCCAGCACGAGUUAUGUCGUGUUAUCGACAUGUGAAUAUAUAUCAUGUCUGAAGGCAUACCCGGAGAACUGAAACAUCUUAGUACCCGGAGGAAGAGAAAGAAAAAUCGAUUCCCUGAGUAGCGGCGAGCGAAACGGGAAGAGCCCAAACCAAUAAGCUUGCUUAUUGGGGUUGUAGGACACUCUAUACGGAGUUACAAAUGUAUAAAUUAGACGAAUUAUCUGGAAAGAUAAAUCAAAGAAGGUAAUAAUCCUGUAGUCGAAAAUUUAUACACUCUUGAGUGGAUCCUGAGUACGACGGAGCACGUGGAAUUCCGUCGGAAUCCGGGAGGACCAUCUCCCAAGGCUAAAUACUCUCUAGUGACCGAUAGUGAACCAGUACCGUGAGGGAAAGGUGAAAAGUACCCCGGAAGGGGAGUGAAAGAGAACUUGAAACCGUGU